CCCAUCAGCACUACAGCAGAGCCAGUCUCCAGCUCCCCACAGCCCUACCCUGCUGGCCAUUGGUCCUAUCAGCCAAGCCCAGCCAUAGGGGCACAUCCCAGCCUGAGAACAGGCUCUUGGUAACCAGUGAACACACUGCAGGUGACAUCCCAGCUACAGGGUCCCCUGGCUACUUCCUGUCAUCACAGUUCUCCUGCUGUGCUGGCAUCUCCCAAGUCAGGGAAGCAAUACCUGGCUAGGUUGGGAAUGCCAUCAUCCAUUAAACUUCCAGCAGAAGACUUUUCUCUGAGAGCUGGUUGCUAAUUUGAGACAAGUUGUUAAUGAGGUGCAGGUAUAUACCCUCAGCCAGCUGUCUUGUACCAUUUUGUUCCCUGGAAUUAGGUGUGGCAUUCACUUCCAGCACCCCUGAAGGCAGUAUGCUGGGGUUUUGGGUUUAAGCAUGCUGGGCUUGAACUAACAAGGCAGCAGCGUUGCUACAUCUGCUCCGUCUGAAGCUGUAUGAUACUAAUUCAUUUUCAUUUUCCUCCUACAGCUUCAGCCACUGGAAAUAAAGGGGUGUAAAGAACGUCAUUCCUUGUCAUUGUGGUUACAGAAAAUCCUGGAAAUGCAACUGAGAGUACAUGUAGCUUCAAAAAUCAGGAACCGAAACAAACAAAACCGUGCAACAUUUAUUAAUAAGUUUCAGUUAAGUCUCCCUGGUUUCAAGCCCAGUCACACGAUUUCUCUAGGGGGAGGCAGGAGGAAAGUGAAUUUAUGACUGCUGAAUGUUUGAGCCUGUCAGAAUUGUAUUGAAUACUACAAAAAAGUGGAUGGCUAGAAAUACAUUUGGGUGUGAAUAAGCUGUUUCCUCCACAGGUCUGGUUUACACUGGCAGGGUGUGCUUAACGCUUGACUGGAGAAAAAAAAUGUGACAGACAGGAUGGUUUCUUACAAGCUCCUCAGGGAAUUUAAAGACAAGCUCUGUUCUUCUUCCCUUUAAUUCACCCUCUGGUCACCGGCAGAACAAUUUAGAUUCAAGCUUUGGGUUUAGGAGAAUUUCUGGUAGAAGGGGAAGGGUUAAUUUGUUUACUUGUGGUUUUCUAUUUAUUUUGUUUUACUUUUUUAUGCCCUGAUGUGAAUUAUCCGUUUUGGCAAGUCAGUGAGAACAGUUGCAUGUACUUGGUAUUUUCUGUCACAUACACUAUUAUUAGUAAGAAACACAUUUCCUUUUGGGGCGCUAAGGACAAAAAUAAGGCUGUUCACAUCACCACCCCCCUUAUUAACUCUGUUAAAGCAGUCGUGCUGGCAUUUAAGAGAACUGGCAAAUGCAUUUGUUCAGCUGCAAAUGUGAUGCAUUCAACGUUCUUUUCACAUGAAGAAGAAAACAGGGGCUUUUAAGCACAGGGAAUAUAAUAGCCAAGCUUUGGUAAUGAUUUCUAAUAUUUUAAAGAGAGGAGAGGGGAAAAAGAUCUCAUUUACUUGUUUCAGUUUGAAGGAAAGGGAACAGCUCUAUUACCGAAAAUCUCCUCUGGAGCUUUCAGUGCUACUUGGUGCACAUUUUCUCUCCAUGUGCAGACAGAUCUGCCAUCAGUGGCAACUCAUUGGGCUGUGGCUUGGACUUUGUGUGCAAUAUGGACAGUAUUGCUUCAUCACCUAAGCACAAGGACAGGACAUGUCUCUGCAGCACAGUUUAUCCAUUUCUAGGGCAGGAUAACUUUUCUAAGAAUGAGUCCUGUCAUGAUGCCCAGAUGCUGUUGAGCUCUUUUCUUUUGUCUGCAGUGCUGUCUAUCAUCAGUCAUACCAGCAUGGUGGGUCAUUGGGUCAUCUUGGGUACCCAAGCAACCCAGAUCAUGCGGUGCAGAAAUUUGCUUCCUUUCAAGGUUCUUUGGUCACUGGCAUUGGUUUUAAAUUUGGCCCAAAUUAGGUUGAUUUGAAACUGUUGCAGUGUUUUCCAACUCUAUCAUACUUCCUUUUCUACUGAUACUGAUAAAACAGAAUUCUUUGACUCUCCAGAACAGACUUCUUGUGCUCAUCCCUCACUACUUGGUACUUAUCUACUUGUCUCCAUUUGUUGUGGAGAAAGCUGGCGGUUCUAAAUCCAAGUAGGGGUUUAAUGUUGCCUUUCAACAUUGAGAGGAAUGAAAUGCAGUGGUGGAAAAUGCUACAGUAACUGAUGUACAGGACACUUGUUUAUUUUUAUUUUUUUUAAACCAAAAAUGCCCAAGAAGCUGGUAGUGAUAGCAAGCAAAAUCUUUCUGGCUGAUGGGGACAGAAAAGUCAUAGAGAUAAGGCAAAGAGACAGAGAAGUUUACUUUACACUUAGCAAUGAGGUAUUUUUUCCAUCUGUUUCAAGGACUUUGGUCUUCAUCCACCAGUCUUUAUAUAUAUAUAUAUACUAAAUAGCAUUUAGCAAGUGGCUUUUAAAAUAGGGUGAACUUUUGCAAAGGAAGUAUUUAUAGAAGUAGCUAUUUAGUUAGUAAUUUUCGGUAUUCAUUUUGCUAUUGCUGAAUAUAUGGAACAGGAUUAUUCACCCACAUUACCCAGCUGCUUCUGUUUGAUAACACAAUAAAGAUUGCGAGGUAAGUGUCUUUCCGUGGUAAUGACUGUGAUGUCACGAUUCAUGUGAUGUCACAGGUAUGAAGAAGUGGGCUCCUUAAGCAAGAGUUGUUUUUGAGACAGAAAAUCCCAAAAUAUAAAUGUCUUGCAUUAUUGGUCAAAUGGUAGAUUAAAAUGCAAUUCAAUUAAGGAAUAUUGCAAAAAAUUAAUUUUCUGUGACGCACUUGAAAAAUGCUUCCCGAUAUUGGAGUUCACUAAAAGCACAAUAGUACCUUAUUAAAAGAAGCUGUGGUACAUUUCCAACUAUUCUUUUCCUGUGGAUGAGACUUGGUGACUCCAGAAGUUUAUAGAAGGUGAUACAUUACAAUGCCUAGCAAAGAAUAUGUUUGGGGGGGGUGGGGUUGGGAUUUUUUUUCAUUUAGCUUGCUGGCAGUUGCCAGCUGAACUGGAUAUGCACUUGCAUUUGGAAGUUCUCUGACCUCCCUGUAAGCUGUGACUUACAGAAUUGUAAACUUGACACACAUUUGGAUAAGAUUUUUCUGGUUCUGCAGAUCUGUGGAGCUGCAAUGAAGCUAUGCAAGGGAAUAUUCAGAAAUGUAAGUUUUAAGUGAGGUGUACAAACCAGUAUCACUAGAUGCUUCAGUGGGUGUUUUGUGUAGAAGUCCUGUAACAUUGUUUGAGUUGAUCUAACCCAAAAUGCUAUUGGUUCUUCUCUUCAGAAGCCCAUUGAGAUAAUGUACCAUUUCUCUGUCUCAGUAAUGGGAAGAAUCUCUUGAGCUGGACGUGUGCAUCACACAGCUGGCUCUGAACUCUGCGCUGGAUAAUAGGCAAACUUGCCUCUCAUUCAUUUGCAGCUGAAGACUGGGACUUUUCACUGCUCUGUGACAUCAGGUCAGCCUCUUUGGUCAUCCAUUGACCAGCCUCAGCUGGCUUUUGGGAUCCAGAACAGGGCAGAGACCAUGCAUGCCAAAACCUUGCUGACUAACCCCACACUGACCAGCUAGAGCUUGAGAUGCCAGAAGGAGCCUGCCUCUGGGAUAAUUCAUGGCUUUGAGUGCUGGACAGACAGCACACAACACCAUGGGUAAGCUGCAUGAGGCCAGCACUUCUGGAAUGACAAGGCAGAGAGAAGAACUGCUGGAACUGAGUUUUCUGGGAAAAUGGAAACAGAUAAAAUGGAGAAUCCCCUGGAUUUGCCAGUCCAGCAAAAGUUACCUCCAACUUCAGGUAGAAAGAAGGAAUGGAAGGAAGAGGCAUUGAUCUAGUACUCACUGCUGGGCUGAAAUAUCAAAACCAGGAGAGAGAGUCAAUGAUUUCUACAGCACCCCAAAUUAAAAGCUAUCCUCAAAUGCUC